CCUACGGGUGGCAGCAGUGGGGGAUAUUGCACAAUGGGGGAAACCCUGAUGCAGCGACGCCGCGUGUGGGAAGACGGUCCUCUGGAUUGUAAACCACUGUCCCCAGGGACGAAGAUGUCGGUACCUGGGGAGGAAGCUCCGACCAACUACGUGCCAGCAGCCGCGGUAAUACGUAGGGAGCGAGCGUUGGCCGGAAUUACGGGGGGUAAAGGGAACGUAGGCGGCGGUGCAAGUUGGGGGUCAAAACUACGGGGUCAACUGGUAGUCGCACCCAAAACUGCAGCUCUUGAGUGAAGUAGAGGCAGGCGGAAUUCCUAGUGUAGCGGUGAAAUGCGUAGAGAUUAGGAGGAACACCAGUGGCGAAGGCGGCCUGCUGGGCUUUUACUGACGCUGAGGCUCGAAAGUGUGGGGAGCAAACAGGAUUAGAUACCCGGGUAGUC
rnacentral:rRNA from 1 species